UCGGGCCCUAUCUGCCGUGGGCGCUGGAGAACUGAGGGGGGCUGCUCCUAGUACGAGAGGACCGGAGUGGACGCAUCACUGGUGUUCGGGUUGUCAUGCCAAUGGCACUGCCCGGUAGCUAAAUGCGGAAGAGAUAAGUGCUGAAAGCAUCUAAGCACGAAACUUGCCCCGAGAUGAGUUCUCCCUGAGACUUAAAGUCUCCUGAAGGAACGUUGAAGACGACGACGUUGAUAGGCCGGGUGUGUAAGCGCAGCGAUGCGUUGAGCUAACCGGUACUAAUGAACCGUGAGGCUUAACCUUACAACGCCGAAG
rnacentral:rRNA from 1 species